GAUGAACGCUGGCGGCGUGCUUAACACAUGCAAGUCGAACGGACCUUGAGGAGCUUGCUCCUCUUGGUUAGUGGCGGACGGGUGAGUAACGCGUGGGUAACCUGCCCUAUGCAGGGGGAUAACGUUUGGAACGAACGCUAAUACCGCAUAACAUAAGAAGUUUGCAUGAACUUCUUAUCAAAGAUUUAUCGGCAUAGGAUGGACCCGCGUUGGAUUAGCUAGUUGGGGAGAUAACAGCCCACCAAGGCAACGAUCCAUAGCCGGCCUGAGAGGGUGAACGGCCACACUGGGACUGAGACACGGCCCAGACUCCUACGGGAGGCAGCAGUGGGGAAUAUUGCACAAUGGGCGCAAGCCUGAUGCAGCGACGCCGCGUGAAGGAUGAAGGUUUUCGGAUCGUAAACUUCUAUCAGCAGGGAAGAACCAAAUGACGGUACCUGACUAAGAAGCCCCGGCUAACUACGUGCCAGCCGCCGCCGUAAAAC
rnacentral:rRNA from 1 species